UUUGGAGGUAGUGACAAUAAAUCACAAUGCGGAACAAUGUUUUGCAAUUGGAUUGAGAACAACGUACAAACCUUAUCGAUAAACAAUUGGAGGGCAAGUCUGGUGCCAGCAGCCGCGGUAAUUCCAGCUCCAAUAGCGUAUAUUAACGUUGUUGCAGUUAAAAAGCUCGUAGUUGAAAUGAAGGGUAGUUGUGUAAUGAAUACAUUCGUGUAUUUUGUUAUUCUACUACCCUCCUUCUAAAUUCGAUAUAUGAGUAUUAAUUUACUUGUAUAUGGUUUUAGACGUUUACUGUGAGAAAAUUAGAGUGUUCAAAGCAGGCAUUUGCUUGAAUAUAUUAGCAUGGAAUAAUCAUGUAUGAUUUUCAUGAUGUAUUUGAUUGGUUUGGUUCAUGAGAAUAAGAUUAAAAGGGACAGUUGGGGGUAUUCAUAUUCAAUAGUCAGAGGUGAAAUUCUCGGAUUUAUGGAAGAUGAACAAGUGCGAAAGCAA
rnacentral:rRNA from 1 species